rnacentral:rRNA from 1 species
CCUACGGGCGGCAGCAGUGGGGAAUAUUGCGCAAUGGGCGAAAGCCUGACGCAGCGACGCCGCGUGAGGGAUGAAGGUCUUCGGAUCGUAAACCUCUGUCAGCAGGGAAGAACAGUCACUGUGCUAAUCCUCAUUGAAUUGACGGUACCUGCAAAGGAAGCACCGGCUAACUCCGUGCCAGCAGCCGCGGUAAUACGGAGGAUGCGAGCGUUGAUCGGAAUUACCGGUCGUAAAGCGCUCGUAGGCGGUAUGUCAAGUCAAGGGUGAAAUCCCCGCGCUCAAGGGGGGAACUGCCUUUGAAACUGGCAAACUUGAGUGUGUGAGAGGAUGGCGGAAUUCGAGGUGUAGGAGUGAAAUCCUUAGAUAUCUGGAGGAACAUCAGUGGCGAAGGCGACUAUCUGGCACAUAACUGACGCUGAGGAGCGAAAGCGUGGGUAGCAAACAGGAUUAGAUACCCGGGUAGUC